UACUAGACGAGAAGACCCUGUGGAGCUUAAGUCGCAUAACUCAACACAUACUAACAUCCAACCUAUCGGAACAAACUGUAUAAGCUACUGAGUUAUAGUCUUUGGUUGGGGUGACCUUGGAGCAUAAAACAACCUUCGAAUGAAUAUAACCUAGAUUAAUCAAUCUAAGUAUAACAAUACCAGUAAUUGACCCAUCUCUUGAUCAAUGGAACAAGUUACCCCAGGGAUAACAGUGCAAUCCUAUUGGAAAGCCCAUGUUGAAAAUUAGGGUUUACGACUUCGAUGUUGCAUCAGGACAUCCAAAUGGUGCAAUCACUAUUAAAGGUUCGUUUGUUCAACGAUUAAAGUCCUACGUGAUCUCAGUUCAGAUCAGAGAAAUCCAGGUUGGUUUCUAUCUGUA
rnacentral:ncRNA from 1 species